UCCCUGGUGGCUCAGUCGGUAAAGAGACUGCUUGCAAGGCAGCAGACCCAGGUUCGCUCCCCGGGUAGGGAA
rnacentral:tRNA from 1 species